UGGGGAAUUUUGGACAAUGGGCGCAAGCCUGAUCCAGCAAUGCCGCGUGCAGGAUGAAGGCCUUCGGGUUGUAAACUGCUUUUGUACGGAACGAAAAGCUUCUGGUUAAUACCUGGGAGUCAUGACGGUACCGUAAGAAUAAGCACCGGCUAACUACGUGCCAGCAGCCGCGGUAAUACGUAGGGUGCGAGCGUUAAUCGGAAUUGCUGGGCGUAAAGCGUGCGCAGGCGGUUAUAUAAGACAGAUGUGAAGUCCCCGGGCUCAACCCGGGACCUGCAUUUGGGACUGUAUAGCUGGAGUGCGGUAGAGGGGGAUGGAAUUCCGCGUGUAGCAGUGAAAUGCGUAGAUAGGCGGAGGAACACCGAUGGCGAAGGCAAUCCCCUGGACCUGUACUGACGCUCAUGCACGAAAGCGUGGGGAGCAAACA
rnacentral:rRNA from 1 species